rnacentral:rRNA from 1 species
UUAAGUUAGUAAGGGCGCACGGUGGAUGCCUUGGCACUAGGAGCCGAAGAAGGACGUGACAAACGACGAAAUGCCUUGGGGAGCUGUAAGUAAGCGUAGAUCCAGGGAUGUCCGAAUGGGGGAACCCAACAGGUAGAUGCCUGUUACCCGUAUCUGUUAAGGAUAUGAGGAGGAAGACGCAGUGAACUGAAACAUCUAAGUAGCUGCAGGAAGAGAAAGCAAAAGCGAUUGCCUGAGUAGCGGCGAGCGAAAGGGCAAGAGGGCAAACCGAGAAGUUUACUUCUCGGGGUUGUAGGACUGCGAUGUGGACUUAAAGAUUAUAGAAGAAGACCUUGGGAAGGGUUGCCAGAGAGAGUAAGAGCCUCGUAUUUUAAAUAAUCUUUAUACCUAGCAGGAUCCUGAGUACGGCGGGACACGAGGAAUCCCGUCGGAAGCUGGGAGGACCAUCUCCCAACCCUAAAUACUCCCUAGUGACCGAUAGUGAACCAGUACCGUGAGGGAAAGGUGAAAAGCACCCCGGGAGGGGAGUGAAAUAGAACCUGAAACCGUGUGCCUACAACAAGUUCGAGCCCGUUAAUGGGUGAGAGCGUGCCUUUUGUAGAAUGAACCGGCGAGUUACGAUAUGAUGCGAGGUUAAGUUGAAGAGACGGAGCCGUAGGGAAACCGAGUCUUAAUAGGGCGCAUUAGUAUCAUGUCGUAGACCCGAAACCAUGUGACCUACCCAUGAGCAGGUUGAAGGUGAGGUAAAACUCACUGGAGGACCGAACCAGGGCACGUUGAAAAGUGCUUGGAUGACUUGUGGGUAGCGGAGAAAUUCCAAACGAACUUGGAGAUAGCUGGUUCUCUCCGAAAUAGCUUUAGGGCUAGCGUCGAUGUUAAGUCUCUUGGAGGUAGAGCACUGUUUGGGUGAGGGGUCCAUCCCGGAUUACCAAUCUCAGAUAAACUCCGAAUGCCAACGAGAUAUAAUCGGCAGUCAGACUGCGAGUGCUAAGAUCCGUAGUCGAAAGGGAAACAGCCCAGACCACCAGCUAAGGUCCCAAAAUAUAUGUUAAGUGGAAAAGGAUGUGGGGUUGCACAGACAACUAGGAUGUUAGCUUAGAAGCAGCUAUUCAUUCAAAGAGUGCGUAAUAGCUCACUAGUCGAGUGACCCUGCGCCGAAAAUGUACCGGGGCUAAAACAUAUUACCGAAGCUGUGGAUACCUUUAUAGGUAUGGUAGGAGAGCGUUCUAUGUGCGAAGAAGGUGUACCGUGAGGAGUGCUGGAGCGCAUAGAAGUGAGAAUGCCGGUAUGAGUAGCGAAAGACAGGUGAGAAUCCUGUCCACCGUAAGACUAAGGUUUCCAGGGGAAGGCUCGUCCGCCCUGGGUUAGUCGGGACCUAAGGAGAGACCGAAAGGUGUAUCCGAUGGACAACAGGUUGAUAUUCCUGUACUAGAGUAUAUAGUGAUGGAGGGACGCAGUAGGCUAACUAAACCAGACGAUUGGAAGUGUCUGGCCAAGCAGUGAGGUGUGAUAUGAGUCAAAUGCUUAUAUCUAUAACAUUGAGCUGUGAUGGGGAGCGAAGUUUAGUAGCGAAGUUAGUGAUGUCACACUGCCGAGAAAAGCUUCUAGCGUUAAUUAUACUCUACCCGUACCGCAAACCGACACAGGUAGUCGAGGCGAGUAGCCUCAGGUGAGCGAGAGAACUCUCGUUAAGGAACUCGGCAAAAUGGCCCCGUAACUUCGGGAGAAGGGGCGCUGACUUAUGGUCAGCCGCAGUGAAUAGGCCCAAGCAACUGUUUAUCAAAAACACAGCUCUCUGCUAAAUCGUAAGAUGAUGUAUAGGGGGUGACGCCUGCCCGGUGCUGGAAGGUUAAGAGGAGUGCUUAGCAAUAGCGAAGGUAUGAAUUGAAGCCCCAGUAAACGGCGGCCGUAACUAUAACGGUCCUAAGGUAGCGAAAUUCCUUGUCGGGUAAGUUCCGACCCGC